rnacentral:rRNA from 1 species
UACGUAGGGGGCAAGCGUUGUCCGGAAUUAUUGGGCGUAAAGAGCGCGUAGGCGGUCCGAUAAGUCGGCUGUGAAAGUCCAGGGCUCAACCCUGGAAAGCCGGCCGAUACUGUCGGACUAGAGUCCGGAAGAGGCAAGUGGAAUUCCCGGUGUAGCGGUGAAAUGCGCAGAUAUCGGGAGGAACACCAAUUGCGAAGGCAGGUCUCUGGGCCGAUACUGACGCUGAGGAGCGAAAGCGUGGGGAGCGAACAGG